rnacentral:rRNA from 1 species
CCUACGGGAGGCAGCAGUGAGGAAUAUUGGUCAAUGGCCGGAAGGCUGAACCAGCCAUGCCGCGUGAAGGUCAGUGCCCUUUGGGCGUUAAACUUCUUUUGUGCGGGAGCAAUAAUGGUCACGUGUGGCCAGACGAGAGUACCGUACGAAUAAGCAUCGGCUAACUCCGUGCCAGCAGCCGCGGUAAUACGGGGGAUGCAAGCGUUAUCCGGAUUUAUUGGGGUUAAAGGGUGCGUAGGCUGUGAGGUAAGUCAGCGGUGAAAUGCCCCGGCUCAACGGGGUGAAGUGCCAUUGAUACUGGCUUGCUGGAGUGCGCAUGCCGUGGGAGGAAUGUGUGGUGUAGCGGUGAAAUGCAUAGAUAUCACACAGAACACCGAUUGCGAAGGCAUCUCACGAAUCCGCGAUUGACGCUGAGGCACGAAAGCGUGGGUAUCAAACAGGAUUAGAUACCCGUGUAGUC